GCUCCCAUCGUCUAGUGGUUAGGACACAAGAUUUUCAUUCUUGUAACAUCAGUUCAAAUCUGGUUAGGAGUACCA
rnacentral:tRNA from 1 species